UUCUUUUCUUUUUUUUUUUCGCUCUCAAAGACACAGCCUAUACUGUUCAUUUUAUUCUGUUUUAUAUUUUACCGCUGUGGUUCAAGCUGAAAAAUACUAGCACAAGCCAGUGAUUUUAAAGAACGAAAGUCGAAGUUCAUCAGUUCAAGGCGCGACUAGCGACUAACGCCUGACGCCAAUGUACGGUGAGAACAAACAAGACACAUUUAUUGAACAUCUGGAGGAGGCAGCCAGGGACUUUUUUCGGAAUCUCUUUUUUCCUUGCGUGCUGCGCUUCGUAACUUACAGGCCCGAAAGGCGAGUAGGUACUGACAUAGUUCUAUGGGUCUAAAGAAAAUGGCUGGAAAGUUGAACACACUGAUGAAGUUUCUAAAGGAUCUUGAUAUUAGCAUGCAGGCAAGUCAGAACUUAAGCCAUGUUCUGACAGAAAGUUCUGCCAUCUUCAGGUAAUUAAUGUACAAAGCGUAUAUGAAGUUACUUUGAGUUUUACUUAUAAUGUGGGUCCAGUGUUUAUAUCAUAUUUUGUGUUUAAAUGUGUUUGAAAGGGAAUUUUUUUGGCUAGGCUUGCCCACAUAUAGAAAAAAGAAAUGCAUUUCACACGUUAGCAUCAGGGAUUCAAUCAACAUGAAAUCUCAAAAUAUGAACUUCUGGUGCAUGUGAACGUGCUAAUCUUGUCAUUGGAAAUGGAGAUGUUAAUGCCCAAUUAACUUUUACACUAAAAUAGCAGGGG